AAUUGUGAAUAUCUUCGUUUUACCCCAUUUUAUUUCUCUCUCCAUCAUUUUUUAGUUUUUUUACUUCCCUUCGUUUUCCAUAGAAAGAUAAUAAUUUUACUUCACUUCAUUGAAUUCACUGCUUUCAAACACGAAAUUCAAAACCCUAGAUUUGUCCAUAUCAUAAGGCUUUUCUUGCAAAACUUACAUCAAACAUUCUUUCAUCUUCAAGUAAAACUAACCUUUUCUACACUUUCUAUCUCGUAACAAUGUACUAUUGUUCUUGUUUAGAUCAAAAUUAAUACCCUCUUUUGUUUUGUAAAUUUUGGUCAAGAUUUAUUAUUUGAAAGGCUACAACUGAUUUUAGGGUUUAGUCUAUUGUUUUCAUUCAAAUGGAUCCUGUUAUUGUUGCAGAAACGGUUCCGUAUUUGAGUUUAUUCUCUGCCAUCUCCUACGGGAUCGCGUCUAUGGCCAUGGUUUUUAUCAAUAAGGCUGUUUUGAUGCAGUAUUCACACUCAAUGACUCUCCUCUUUCUUCAGCAAUUGGCAACAACUUUGCUUAUAUACUUUGCCCGUGUUAUGGGGUAUGUAAACGCUAAAGAACUAAACUUGGUGACUGCAAAAAAACUAUUCCCCGUGUCACUGUUCUACAAUGCAAAUGUGGCAUUUGCUUUAGCUAGCUUAAAAGGGGUCAACAUUCCAAUGUAUAUCGCAUUGAAGAGACUUACACCACUUGCUGUCUUGGUAGCUGGAUUUUUCUCUGGAAAGGGGAAGCCUCCAACACAGGUGUCUCUCUCAGUCCUAUUUACUGCUUUCGGGGUCAUCAUUGCAGCACUUGGAGAUUUCUCGUUUGACCUCUUUGGGUACACUAUGGCCCUCACAUCUGUCUUUUUCCAGACUAUGUACUUGGUACUCGUUGAGAAGUCUGGUGCAGAGGAUGGGCUAUCCUCAGUGGAGCUAAUGUUCUAUAAUGGAUAUUUAUCUCUUCCAUUUCUUCUAUUCCUUAUCAUAGCCACAGGGGAAUUUCCCAAUUCUGUGUACUUAUUAUUCGACAAGGCUAUCUCGUUUUCGUUCUUAAUGGUUCUCAUUCUUUCGUUGGUGAUGGGAAUCGUUCUUAAUUUCACCAUGUUCUUGUGUACUAUAGUCAACUCAGCUCUUACAACCACCAUUGUUGGAGUUCUCAAGGGCGUCGGAUCAACAACUCUUGGUUUUAUCCUGCUUGGCGGCGUGCAAGUACAUGCCUUAAACGUUACAGGAUUGGUCAUUAACACGGCUGGUGGUGUGUGGUAUUCAUAUGCUAAAUAUCAGCAAAAGAAAAGCAAACCAAAGAAGGUAAUUACAGAUGAAGAAGCUCAUCAUAAGUAAUCACAGAAGCUUUUCUUGGACAUGGAGUACUGCACUAGAGUGGCACUAUCAUGCUCAUUUUAGCAAAUUCUGUAUAGAGAUCAAAUUAUCAUGCAAUCAAUUUGAUUUUGGUCCAUAAUAUCUACUGUCUAUAAGUUAUCACCAGUUCGGGCAACAUGAGCUAUAAUCUUUGUGGACUUGUAGGGCCCAAUUGCAACCAAAUCAACAGCUCAUCUGGUUAUGAAGGCAAAUGUUAUCAUCUCCUGGACCCUCUGAAGAGUAUAUAAUGGUGUUUCUGGUGAAAGUCAGAGAUGCUUGCCUUCGAAAGGAAGAGGGUAUCUUGUCAGGGGAUACAAGAUGGAGAGAACUAGGACAGUGCUAGGGUUAGGGCAUAAAAGAGUAUAAAGCCUCCGGGCUGUCGUCUUAAGGUAUCUAGUUUGUUAAAUUAAAUCAUAUAGGGAGAGAAAAAGGAUUUCAUCCGGCCAUGUAAGAAAUUGUAAUGUCGUAUCUUGAAAGCGAUUUUGUUCAAUUGCUGGGCAUUGUUAAGUUAAACAUGAAAAUGGAGAGAAAUAGGAUUUCCUCUGGCCAUGGAAGACAUUGUAAUGUCCAGUUUUGAAAUAGGAUUUGUUGAAUCGUUAGGCUGAAGGCUAAAAUGCUGGCAUGGAAUAUGUACAGCGCAUGAAAAUAUUGAAAUCAUCUACAAAGAGAACUAUCGAUACA